GGAGCAGGGAGAGGCGGGGAGGCUGGGGAAGGAGUGGGGGCCUGGGUCCCAGGAGGAGCACGAGGAAGCUGUCCCCGCUGGUCUACCCCUCAGGGAUGCCGUGCCUCUGGGUCCUCAUUGCUCAUUAUGCCCCCUGCCCAGUGACUUUUGUCCUGCUGCAGAGGUCACCAAACGCUGUCCUAUGCCGGUAACAACAAGUGACUACGGUGGCAUGACUAGCAGCAAAGCAGUCCGAGGCCCGCAGGGGAAACUCCCUGUGUGGCUUCUGUGUCCCCUUUGUCCUCCUGCACACUCAGGACUUUUCUGCAGAAGGACCCAAAUUCCCCUGGCCUUCCAGGGAACAGUCAUGGGAGCUGGAGCAGAAGGUUCUAGACUAGCUCUGGGCUGGUGCAGGCUGCCUGGCUGGGAGCCGAGCACAGCAGCACACCCAGCCACCUGGGACACCCUGGGGCUGCACAUGGGACCAGGGACCCGGUGCAGCCUCUGCCCUUGGGGGGUUCACCAACAUGUGUAGGUGAGAUAAGAGCCCCAGGGCACAGGGUGGGAAGCUGCUUCUGGCCCGCAGAUCUUGGAGGGCUGCCUGGAGGAGGUGCUGGUGAGCUGGCCUGGUAGGUGGGAUUCCUACCCAGGUUUUUCACAGGAGGCCCCGCUUGGCAAAGGCAAGUAGGAGGGAAGGUGCCCAACACUAAAGGAAGGAGGGGUGAGACGGCUGGGCAGGGCCUUCCGGCCUUAUGUGGACACAGCAAAGCCCAGGGACAUUCUUUUUUAUUUUUAGGUGCUGGGGAUGGAACCCAGGGCCUUAUGCAUGUGAGGCAAGCACUCUGCCAACUGAGCCAUGUCCCCAGCCCCCAGGGACAGUCCUAAGGUGGUUUCCUUCCCAGGGAUUAACCAGACUUCUCUCUCCUCCAUUCCCAGGCCGUGGAACGGACUCCAAGGGACCUUCCAGGUGGGAUGCCCUGGAGUCUGCGCUGGGAGCGGGGCCUCGGGAGACCGUGCUGUGAGGACUCUAGGAUCUGGAGAGGUCACUGACUUCCCCUGUGCGGUGACGGCUGGCUUCCCCGGGUCUCUGCAGAGACUGGGACCCUGGAAACAAGGACCUCCAUCCGCUGGGCUCCAACUCGUUCCUCCAGCGCUGAGCACCUGGGUUGAACCCAGAGGGGCUUAACCACUGAGCCACAUCCCCAGUCCUUUCUAUUUUUUGAGACAAGGUCUUGCUGAGUUGCUUACGGCCCUGCUGAGCUGCCCAGGCUGGCUGCCUUGGACUUGCGGUCCUCCUGCCUCAGCCUCCCGGGUCCCUGGGAUCACAGACGUGCUCCAGUCUCCAGGGGCGGCUGUGCUCCCAGAGCCUCCUCAUCCCAGAAGGGCCUCCUGUCGUAGCCACACCCCAUCUGCUGGCUCUUCACGUCUCCCCCCGGGACCCUCCCCUCCUGCUGACCCCAGGGUCCUCCUCUCUGGUGCAGACCUCUCCUUGACCCCACACUCCCCCACACCCUCCUCCUACUUCUCCAUGGCGCUUGGCCUGCACUUCUCCCUCCCGUUUCCUCUCUGCCCACUUGUGAGUCCUUAGUGUCACGGCUUCUGCUCCUGCUGCUCAGGGAAGCCACCCUCUCUGGGCCUCUCAAUCCCCCGUGGCCACUCUCACCAAGGACCGUGUGGGGCAGUGGUUACAGCAGAUGCCCUGGAAGCCUCUUCGACUCGUUCCUGGUCGUGUAGCCAAGAACCCUCUCCCGGGCCCCGUUUCCUGUCUGUGAAACGGGCACCAUGACGGACACUCCCUCGUGCCAUGGCUGGGGGAAUUCACUGAGGUCACCUGGAAAGUUCCUCGUCUCCAGCUGGUUCUGUCAAUGUCCUCGUCCUCCCUGGGACCCUGUCCCUUCUCGACACUCCUCUUUGCUUGGACCUGAGUCUUCCCGGGGAUCCCCGGGGCUCGGCUUCUCAUGAACGUGCCUGAGCUGGGCAGGGUCCUGAGCAGUGGCGUACUGUCCUUGUGACAGUCUUACAGAUGAGGACACUUGGUGACCAACCAGAACGGUUUGAAAACGACUCCCAGGGCACAGCUGGGAAGGGGACAGCCAAGGUCAAGGUUCUGUGCUAGACUUUGAUCUCGCCUCAAGCAGCCCCCUCUCCCUCCCCGACGUCGUCCACCCCAGACCUUCGUCCUCUGGAUGGACACUUCCUUAAUCUCCCGCCUCAGCUCUGGCCAUUGGCCAGCCGGACACACCCUGGUAAUGGCCGCUCCCCUGGCCCCUGCCCAGGCUCCCAGCCCUGCAGCUGUGGCUCCUGGACCAGGACAGGAGGGUGGAAACCUGCCCCUCCCUGGGGAAACGGCCCCGCCCGCACCCAGCACCCACUCUGGAGUUUUGCCCUGACUCAUUCUCACCUCCAGCCCCCACGUGGCCUCAGAGACCCUCUGCCUGCUCACCUCCUCCUCACCCCAGCAGCUCCACCCCUUCUCUCCCCACCCGUCUCUACAACAUGCCUGUCUCCUCCUCUCUGGUGGCUCCUGGCGCCCCCCACCCAGCAGGCUCAGACCUGGGGGGUCUUUCAUCAGGGCCGGUUUGACCGUGGGAUGCCCUCCUCAAGAACCACCCGUGGCUCCCUGCUCUUUUCCCCAUCCAGCUGAGACUCUUCAGGCCAAUCUCACGCGGUGCCCUGGGUCUGGCCCCUCGUCCCUCUGCACCCUCAUCUCACUGCCCCCCAUUCGGCGUCUGUGAGCGCGAGUGUGUCCCUCUCUAUGACUUAAUUCGCCACUCCUCA